CAGACUCACUGUGAGAUCCCCAGAUCCCUCAGUGUCUCUCUUUCCCAGUCAGACUCACUGUGAGAUCCCCAGGUCCCUCAGUGUCUCUCUUUCCCAGUCAGACUCACUGUGAGAUCCCCAGAUCCCUUAGUGUCUCGCUCUGUCCCAGCCAGACUCACUGUGAUCCCCAGAUCCCUCAGUGUCUCUCUCUCUCCCAGCGGACUCACUGUGAGAUCCCCAGGUCCCUCAGCGUCAGGUCCAGGAAGGGAAAGGCCUCCUCCACGCUCAGCAGUUCGAUGGGCAGGGAGACGCAGAGGGGCAGAUCCCUCUCCAGAUCGGAGCGCACCAUCCCUGCGCCCCACAGCUGGGAGACAGGUGUGCGCAAAUACCUCUCUUCCUCACCCGCGUGUCCGAGUUAAACUGGUCGGAAUGUGAGAAAACUGGAAAAUAAAUUCUCCUCUGUCUCUGUGUGUGGACCACUCACUCGUCAGUGUGGAGUGGGACUGGGUCUCUCUGUCUGUGUGUGGGGCUGAGUCUCUCUCUGUCUCUGUGUGUGGGGCAGAGUCUCUCUCUGAGGUGGUGCCGUCAGCUCUCUGCCUCUUGUUCUUGGGGGCAGAUAUAUGUCACGCAUGUGAAAGUGUGUAAUUUGGCGCUUGGCUGUGGAGCUCAUUAAACUGUCAAGACUGACAUGUCAGUCCACCUUGACAGCAGAAUCACAGUCUGUGUCACCAGCUCUGCUCCCGGUCUCACCUCUCCUCUCUCAC
rnacentral:lncRNA from 1 species